rnacentral:rRNA from 1 species
CCUGGCUCAGUAUGAACGCUAGCGACAGGCUUAACACAUGCAAGUCGAGGGGCAGCGGGGGUAGCAAUACCCGCCGGCGACCGGCGCACGGGUGAGUAACGCGUAUGCAACUUACCUAUCAGAGGGGGAUAACCCGGCGAAAGUCGGACUAAUACCGCAUGAAGCAGGGGCCCCGCAUGGGGAUAUUUGCUAAAGAUUCAUCGCUGAUAGAUAGGCAUGCGUUCCAUUAGGCAGUUGGCGGGGUAACGGCCCACCAAACCGACGAUGGAUAGGGGUUCUGAGAGGAAGGUCCCCCACAUUGGUACUGAGACACGGACCAAACUCCUACGGGAGGCAGCAGUGAGGAAUAUUGGUCAAUGGGCGUAAGCCUGAACCAGCCAAGUCGCGUGAGGGAUGAAGGUUCUAUGGAUCGUAAACCUCUUUUAUAAGGGAAUAAAGUGUAGGACGUGUCUAUUUUGUAUGUACCUUAUGAAUAAGGAUCGGCUAACUCCGUGCCAGCAGCCGCGGUAAUACGGAGGAUCCGAGCGUUAUCCGGAUUUAUUGGGUUUAAAGGGUGCGUAGGCGGCCUUUUAAAUCAGCGGUGAAAGUCUGUGGCUCAACCAUAGAAUUGCCGUUGAAACUGGGAGGCCUGAGUAUGUUUGAGCAGGCGGAAUGCGUGGUGUACCGGUGAAAUGCUUAGAUAUCACGCAGAACCCCGAUUGCGAAGGCAGCCUGCCAAGCCAUGACUGACGCUGAUGCACGAAAGCGUGGGGAUCAAACAGGAUUAGAUACCCUGGUAGUCCACGCAGUAAACGAUGAUCACUAGCUGUUUGCGAUACAGUGUAAGCGGCACAGCGAAAGCGUUAAGUGAUCCACCUGGGGAGUACGCCGGCAACGGUGAAACUCAAAGGAAUUGACGGGGGCCCGCACAAGCGGAGGAACAUGUGGUUUAAUUCGAUGAUACGCGAGGAACCUUACCCGGGUUUGAACGCAUUCGGACCGAGGUGGAAACACCUUUUCUAGCAAUAGCCGUUUGCGAGGUGCUGCAUGGUUGUCGUCAGCUCGUGCCGUGAGGUGUCGGCUUAAGUGCCAUAACGAGCGCAACCCUUGCCACUAGUUACUAACAGGUGAUGCUGAGGACUCUGGUGGGACUGCCAGCGUAAGCUGCGAGGAAGGCGGGGAUGACGUCAAAUCAGCACGGCCCUUACAUCCGGGGCGACACACGUGUUACAAUGGCGUGGACAAAGGGAGGCCACCUGGCGACAGGGAGCGAAUCCCCAAACCACGUCUCAGUUCGGAUCGGAGUCUGCAACCCGACUCCGUGAAGCUGGAUUCGCUAGUAAUCGCGCAUCAGCCAUGGCGCGGUGAAUACGUUCCCGGGCCUUGUACACACCG